GCUGCCAUCGUCUAGUGGCCUAGGACGAUAGAUUCUCAUUCUAUAAAUCGCGGGUUCGAAUCCCGCUGGCAGCA
rnacentral:tRNA from 1 species